rnacentral:rRNA from 1 species
UACGUAGGGGGCAAGCGUUGUCCGGAAUCAUUGGGCGUAAAGAGCGUGUAGGCGGUCCGGUAAGUCGGCUGUGAAAGUCCAGGGCUCAACCCUGGGAUGCCGGUGGAUACUGUCGGGCUAGAGUGCGGAAGAGGCGAGUGGAAUUCCUGGUGUAGCGGUGAGAUGCGCAGAUAUCAGGAGGAACACCUAUUGCGAAGGCAGCUCGCUGGGACGUAACUGACGCUGAGACGCGAAAGCGUGGGGAGCAAACAGG